rnacentral:rRNA from 1 species
UUGAACGCUGGCGGCAUGCUCUACACAUGCAAGUCGAACGGUAACAGGCCGCAAGGUGCUGACGAGUGGCGAACGGGUGAGUAAUGCAUCGGAACGUGCCCAGUCGUGGGGGAUAACUACUCGAAAGAGUAGCUAAUACCGCAUACGAUCUAUGGAUGAAAGCGGGGGACCGUAAGGCCUCGCGCGAUUGGAGCGGCCGAUGUCAGAUUAGGUAGUUGGUGGGGUAAAGGCUCACCAAGCCAACGAUCUGUAGCUGGUCUGAGAGGACGACCAGCCACACUGGGACUGAGACACGGCCCAGACUCCUACGGGAGGCAGCAGUGGGGAAUUUUGGACAAUGGGCGCAAGCCUGAUCCAGCAAUGCCGCGUGCAGGAAGAAGGCCUUCGGGUUGUAAACUGCUUUUGUACGGAACGAAACGGCUCUGGUUAAUACCCGGGGCUAAUGACGGUACCGUAAGAAUAAGCACCGGCUAACUACGUG